UACAGAGGUCUCAAGCGUUGUUCGGAUUCAUUGGGCGUAAAGGGUGUGUAGGUGGCGCGCUAAGUCGGGUGUGAAAUUUCGGAGCUUAACUCCGAAACUGCAUUCGAUACUGGCGUGCUUGAGGACUGGAGAGGAGACUGGAAUUUACGGUGUAGCGGUGAAAUGCGUAGAUAUCGUAAGGAAGACCAGUGGCGAGGGCGGGUCUCUGGACAGUUCCUGACGCUGAGGCGCGAAGGCCAGGGGAGCAAACGGG
rnacentral:rRNA from 1 species